rnacentral:rRNA from 1 species
UCGCAGUGUGAUAGGGNAUCCCCAGNUGCUCAGCAUUGCUUGGGCUUUUGCCAUGGUGUAAAUAGCAUGGCGAAUAAGUGGUGGGAAAGACUGGUGCCAGCCGCCGCGGUAACACCAGCGCCACAAGUGGCAAUCNCGUUUAUUGGGCCUAAAGCGUCCGUAGCAGGUUUCGUAAAUCUCUUGUGAAAUUGCCGGNCUCAAUCNGGCAGACUGCAGGAGACACUGCGAGACUUGAGACCGGGAGGAGUUAGANGUAUUCCUUAGGGAGCGGUAAAAUGCUAUAAUCUAAGGAGGACCACCUGUGGCGAAGGCGUCUAACUAGAACGGAUCUGACUGUGAGGGACGAAAGCUAGGGGAGCGAACCGGAUUAGAUACCCGAGUAGUCCUAGCCGUAAACGCUGUGAGCUAGGUGUCGCGUAUUCUACGUGAAUNCGCGGUGUCGAAAGGAAGCUAUUAAGCUCACCGCCUGGGAAGUACGGUCGCAAGACUGAAACUUUAAGGAAUUGGGGGGGGAANCACAA